UAUUAUAAUUUUAAUGCCUGCAUAGCAUCUCACUGAUGACUACAUUAGAAUUUAUUCAAAUAAUUUGAAAGUACAUUUAGCUCAUUUCCAAGUUCUGUUUUUCACUUUUACAAAUAAUAUUGCAAUGAGAAUGCAUCUCCACACGGGUGUAAGUACUUACCUGACUUCUCGAGGCUAAAUGCCUAGGAAAAGAAUUGCUACUUUAAAAAGUGUACAUGGUGAGUCUCCGUAGAAUAUAUUUCUAAAAAGUCAAGAGUUUGAUCAAGGUAUGUGUCCAACUUAAAUUCCUAAACUGCCCUCCAAAAAUUAUUUUUUAAAAAAUCUUUCUGUUAUCUUUCUCCAUUUGGAAUAGAAGUUUAACUGGGUCUCAAGUCAUCACUGACCAAGCUUCUUAAGGUGGAAGCUGAGAUUCUUAAGUUCUUCGAGGAGUUCAGUCCUCUCCUGGACAGAAAGUCAAAAAGGUCAGGGAUCCCUUUGAUAAACGUUGCAGUUUUAAACAUGGUAAUCAGGGAAGACCUGAGGAGGUAACAUUUGAGAAAAGAUUUACAGAAGAUGUCAAGCUAUCCAUGAGGAUAUCCAGGGCAAGAAUGUUCCAGAUGAAGGAAACAGCAACUGCAAUAGUCCUGAGUGGGAAUGUGCCCAACAUGUGAGAACAGCCCAGAGGCCACCAUGGCUGCAUCAGAGUGAGGGGAGGAAAUGAGUCAAAAGAGGUAAAGGGGAUGCAGAAUGUAUAGGGUUUUGUAGGCCAUCAUAUGGAUUUUGGCUCUAGUGAUGCAGAGCCCUUGGAAGAUUUUGAGCACAGUGAUCAAACUACAGCUUUAAUAGAGCCACUCUGGCUACUGUAAUGAAUAUAAAUAGUAGGGACCAAGGGGAGAAGCAAUCAUAAGAUUACUGCAAUAAUUUAUAUGGGAGAUGGUGAUAGUUUGGACCACAAUGGUAGCAGUGAUGAAGAUGAAAAGUGUUUGGAUUCUGGGUAUAUAUUUUGAGUGUGCCCAUGUUCCUUUCUGAGUUAUUUAGACUCUUAUUUACUGAAAUCAAGAAGAGAGAAUUUGAAUGAAAAUACAUUAAUCAAAAAAAUAUACUGACUUCUGCUUCUAGGAAGAUGGAGUAGACAUCCUUUUCCCUGUUCCUCCUCUAAGUACAGUUAACUUCUAGGCAUUAUACAUAAGACAGACAUAAGAUCUGAAAGGUGGAGAGAAGAAACAGGCCAGCUAGGGAUCGAGAGUCCCAAGUGAGUUCCCUGGGUUUUCUUUUUACCACGUAUAUCCCAUACUCGGAACAUACAGAAGCCAGCAAUCUGUAAAUGCCAACAAGCACAAACAGAAAAGAAAAUAAAAGGAAUGAAAGGAAAGGAAAGAAAGGAAAGAGAAAAAAAACAAAAGAAAAGAAAAAAGUCUGCUUUCUUUAGCCAAAAGACCAGGGAAGGGUCACCUUUGGGGCACAGAAAACUUUUAGACAGUAACUGCUCAAGUCCAGUCUAAUUCCAUAGAGAAAACUGUGGCCCAGCUCCACUCAUGCAAUCAAAAGUGGAGUGAGAAGUCUAGAUUUCUAUACUCAUGAGGUUGUAAGAGACAUCCCCAAACCCCCAUCAAAAUGGUGCCCAAAAAAGCCAAGUAGGGAGCUAGGAUUUUGUCUCCUUACCACUCCAGCUGGAAAUGAGGUCCACCUCCCUAUUCCAUGGUAUCAGUGAAGAUCACUUGGGGAACCUGGACUUCCAUCUCUCACUCAGCCCUAAUGAGGCAUUCCUACCCCUCACCACUUGGGGGAGGGUCGGUGUCUGAGGAGGCUUGGCAGAGACUCAAGACAUUCAGCAUCACCCAGCAGUAAUGAGACCAAACUCACCCUCGUAUCAAUGGAGACCCCAAGGGGAGCCAGAACUCUCACCUAACCCAGAAGCGAUAAGGGCUCUCCACCCACCCUCAGGUGUCAAUGGAGGCCAAGUGGAGAACCUAGACUUCUACCUCUACCUAGUGGUAACCAGAAAAUGCCCCUCCCCCAACCCUUGCCAGGGCAGAGAGAGAGAAAACCAAUUAAACAGAAGGUCAAAACAAGAUCCAGAAUCUCAUACCAUGAUACAAAAAUGUCCAGGUUUCAUUAAAAAACCAUAGUACCAAGAGCCAGGAUGAUUUCAGUUGAAUGAAGUAAAACAAGCAAUAGAUGUCAUCACUGAGAUUACAGUUUUUAAAGAACCUGCCAUACUGUUUUCCAAAGUAACUAUACUAGGUUACACCUCAAUGAAUCUCCAGAGAAUUUUGCUGAGUUUAAAAAGCCAGUCCAAAAAGUUACAUGUUGUAUGAUUCUGUUUAUAUAACAUUCUUGUAAUGGCAAAAUUAUGGGAAUGGACAACAGGUUAGUGGCUGCCAAGGGUUAAGGAAGAGGUAGCAGUUGGUGGAAAGUGGGUGGAGCUAUAAUUUGGCAAGAUGAGAGAUCCUAUGUUAGCAUAAAUAUUCUGUAGCCUGACUGUAUCAAUGUCAGUGUCCUGGUUGUGAUACUGUAUUAUAAUUUUCAAGAUGUUAUCAUUGGGGAAACUGGCUAAAGGGUAUUUUUCUUACAAUUCCUUACAAUUCUGUGUGAAUCUACCAUGAUCUCAAAAUAAAGCUGUUUAAUUAAUAAAAAACAAGUACUAUGUGAAUAUCAAUAUGGAAAAAGAAAUGAAGUGGUGGGUGGUAUUCAAUAUGAUUCCAAGUUUUGAGAAGUUGUGCUGUGCCCAAUGCAAAUAAUUUUAAUAAAUUAAAACAUAAAAUUUAAAUAUUUUCCUUCCCCCAAUUUUUAUUUUAUUCCAGACAGUAGCAAAUUUACAUGAUCCCACUUCCUUGUGUUUUUGCACCAAUUCAAUCAUGCAGCCUUCACAUAGACAAGGAGAGACAAUAACAUAUACCCUUUCCAAGAUCUUAUAACGUAUUCUGAAAGUGGCCAAUGUUCUUCAUGGGCACCAAACAAGUAAUGGAAUUACCAUUGUUUAUAAAAUCCUGAGCUGAACGGGCCUUCCUCUCUUUCACACUCUUUGUCAAGAGUUGCAAUUUUAUCCUCAUAAUGUAAUUUAUUUGGUUAACACCUCCCACUGGGCUUGUAAACCCCAAGAGGGCAUGCUCUGUGUCUGUCUUAGUAACUUUGCCUCCUUAGUGUCUGUCUCAGAGUCUGACAGAUAACAGGUCUACAAUGGACACCUAAUGAACUAAAAAAUACAUUACUGAAUGACUCUGUCUCUGCCCACUUCACCAAUUCCCCUUUUCUAGCAGCACAGAGCCUCACGGACUCAUCUGUCCACCUAGAGAAUUCCCUGGGUAGUAGUCUUGAUGCAGGCUACGGUUAGAGAGAGGUGGAUUCAUCUUUCUCACUUCACUUCAGUUCAAAGGGUAAGGGGUGUCCAGCUGUCCCUGAAGUGAUGGAUGCUACCACUGUCUUCUAUUCCUGCUAGAAGUGGUUUAAAAAAAAAUGAAACAAAGGGAAAAAAAUGUAGUAUCUACUCAGCGGGAAAUAAUGCAAUUGUGCAAAAUAACUCUGUGCCCUAGUUCAUGCAAUUUAGAUUUGGUUAGAGAUUUCCUUUUCUUUGAGCCUGCAAGGCCAUUAGUCUGGUUUUCCUUAGUACUUCUUCAGUCAAAAGGUCAGCCUAACAAAUCACAGAGAAGACAAUUGAUCUUCUACUCUAGUACCUGUAUUUUAAUGUUUCAUGAUCCCAAACACGUCACACAUUCCAUUGUUCUCACUUGAUAGGGCCUUAGCAUUUGAAAUAGCUAUUCAGUCAGUAUACAAGGUAGACUCGCUAUGACCACACUAGCUUUGUUGAAACAUAUUUCUGCCUUAAAACAUGUAGCUGGAAAUACUAACUGUUUUAAUGGGCAAUCUUGACCUAUAUAGAAAAAAAUGAUACAUUUCCUAACUUUACUCAGAACAGGGAGCAGUGUGCAGAGCUACCUAAUGUCAUUUGUAUAGACACCAAUUAUUUUACAGAGAGGUCAUUGAACUAUCCGAAAUAUGUUCAUUAUGUUGGGCAUUCACGGCUAAGGCACAAAUUUCGCUUUUUUUUUUUUUUCAAAACAGGGAAUGUGGGAGCAAACAACAGGGAGAAACAGCAAUUUCGUUUUUAAUGUAGGAAUUGCAUUUCUUAACACAAUUACCUUGAUUGUCAUUGUCCCCUCCAAACUUUCCACUGUGCCCCGCCUCCAAAAGCCCACUCUCCUACUUCUGGUCUUCACCUUGAUCACGUGUUCUAACCCACCUCAUAAUGAACUAGAGGAGAGAUUUAAUAAAAAGAGGGGGGGGAGAUGCAGUCCGUUUAGGCCCUCAGAAUUCAUGACUGGAUCACAAACUACCUUUACAGAUUACUUCAAGAGAAACCCAAGUAAUAGAAACAAUAUUUCAAAGUCAAACUGUUUUGCUUUCAACAGCAUCCUUCUCAAAUCAGUGCUGAACAAAAUCACUGAACAAAUUGCCAUUGCUUCUUUAUGUUUCAUAUUUUUUUUUUGCUUAACAAAAAUAGAAACCAUCAAAACAGACUUUCCUUCAAAUAAACAGUAUUGGAAAAAGAUUAAAGUGACCAAUCCUUCAGAUGGUGAUUUUAUGCCUUUUCAAUUGGUUUUGCGUAAUUGAAUUAUUUGCAGUGUUCCAUAUCCAUACUUGUAUGUGGAUUCUUGAUCACAUGGAUUGUGUUAUCAUGAAUAA